GCGGGUGUGGCGGAAUUGGCAGACGCGUCAGGUUGAGGGCCUGAUGGGAGUUUAUCCCGUGGAGGUUCGAGUCCUCUCACCCGCA
rnacentral:tRNA from 1 species